GGCUGCUGCCCCCAGAUGCACCAGCUGAGCUGGGGAAGGCGGCUCGGGCUGUGCUGCAGCUGCGUGGUGGAAGUCACAGCCGAGCAGAGCUCCCUGCAAGCAGCAUCCCUCUGCUUCUCUGGGCUUGCAAAUAGGACUGGCUGCGACCAUGCCCCUGGAGAUCACCCGCUGCCUCCCGCCUGGUCCGCUGCAGAGUGGGUGGGGGCUAUGUGUACCGGCUAAGGUUAAGCAUACAGUUUCUCUGCCUAAAUUAGAUGUCUAGACUCCUGGUAUAUUCAAAGGUGAGAGGCAGGUUGCUAAUUACAGCGCUCUGAAUCCCACCCUAAAAGAUCCCUUGUCUGUAUAGGGAGCCUGGGCACCUUAAGUAGGUGCUUAAAAUGGGUAUGAAUAUUCCCUAUUGUAUGCCGGGUCUGGUACUGCUACUGCAAACAAAUAAAGAACCUCCUUGCCUUGUGUAAAUCAAAUGCCUGAACUGCGUUCUUAAAGGAGAAGUGUUCGUAGUACGAGCGUGGAAAUUAACUGGAGAGUCCAUUUAUUUUUGGCCAGUCUCCUGGGAGCACCUGCCAAGCACUGCCUCUCAUUUCAAGCCUGACUGUUCCUGCUGAGAAAGUCUGAUGAAGCUCCGAGUCUGGGUCAAGGUGAGAGGAAGAUGGGUGGGAAGAAACGUGAUCUGCCCAGAGAGUUCAGCGCUGUGAACUGAUGGAGCAACCUCAGAGAGGCUGCAGAAAAAGACAGUGCUCGCUAUCGCUGCUCUGGGAGAGACUGGGGGACCCCAAAACACCACCCACUUGCAGAACAACACCAUCCUGGAUUCACACCAUCUCUCCGUGGCCUGGGUCUGUGCUUGGCCCCUCUCUGCUGGUUGCACAAAGACUAUAAAAUGGUAUGUGUCGUUUGGCAUGUCUCUGCCUGUUGUGGCUCCUCGGGAAAGCUCAGCACUGUGAGCCUACUGCCUUCCAGAUGCAACGUCUACCAUCCCCACUCCUCCCGUCGAGCCAGCGCUGUCCCUGGUGGGAGUGUUUGCUACAUCAAAGCCCCGGUUUGUACUGCAAGCGGAUGAUUUCUCUGGUAUAUUUACACUUGAAUAUGGAAGGACAUGCAUUUCACAGCAGCCGAGGCUGCCAGUGCUUCACAGUGCUGCUUUUAGAAGUAUGGAGUGUGAGAAGAUAUCAGUAAAUGACAAAAAGAUCUUUUUAACAGGGGCAAAAGAGAAUCUUUUCCCUCAAACAUAUUCUUGGGAAAGACUUGAGCCAUUUCAGCUGAAAUGAAAAAGCUUAGCCUGAGGCCAAACCCAGCUGAAGAAAUUUUCAGCCUAAACAAUUAAUUAUAGAUGAAGUUAUGAGCAUCCAAAACCAGAGUUGUACAAUAGUCAACUGUAAUUAUAGUGGUGCUUUUAACUCUGCCUGUAACAGAGGCAUGUAUGUCAAUGUAAAUUCUUGGGUUGGUCUCGGGAAGAGCCUUAUGGAGCUGUUUAUAAACCCCAGCUUUCUGAUCUGAGGGGAUGGGAGCAAGCAUUUUGCAUUAGAAAUAAUCUGCUUUUGAAAGAUGAAUUAACUGGUGACUUUCAAAGCUGUGUCUUGUCUGUACUCAGCAUUUACCUAGGGUCACUUUAGCCAUGAUAUUAUGUUUCUGCUCUAUGUGGGAGGAAGGGCGUAAUGAAGAGGGAGCCUCCUAUGACGGAGAACAGCUCAGUCAUGAGAAAGCUGGGUUGGCAGAGAUUAAUGGGGCAGCAUCCUGUCUGCAAUAUCACCAUCUGAGCAAGCCUUUCCUGGGAAACUGGUCGAAAUGUAUCUUGCCAAAAUACCACUUAAGUGACACCUGGAGGUUAGUUGGAACAGCGUACAGUUAUGUCAGAAAUACCCUCCCUUCCUCCUGGCUUUCCCUGCAGGUACAGAGCUUAGCAUGUUUCAGUCCCCCAGAUUCGAGUGAAGUUUAAAUCAAUGUUGAUUCAAAGGAAUCAGUGCGAGGAGAUCCCAGAUCUGGAGUGGACGUUCUCCAACAGCAGCAGAGCCUCAGUGCCAGCACAGGAGUAUGCGCAAAGACCUCUCAGCCAGAGCAGGCCCAGAAUCUGUUUUGCUUUCUCACACUUGGAGCUGGUAUAUUUUAAAGGAUAUCAAGCGGCAAAUGUGGCAAAGGGGAAAAAUUGCUACAGACUGUAUCUGGCAGAAAACCAGCAAAGAUAAAAUACCAUACGUUCUGUGCAAUGAGCUCCUACAUAAAUGAUUCAUUCACUGGAAUACAGCUGGGGUCAAACACCUUCUAUUUGAAUAGCCAAAAGUUAUGCAAAUAUUUUAUGUGGAUUUUUCUCAAGAAAAGAAAGGAAAAAAAGGACAAUAUAUCCUAUUCCAGUUUAAAAAUAAAAUAAAAGCUGUUUAUCUAUGUAACUUAAAAAAAAAAAAAAUCCCACAAGAACAGUGUCACUGUGUUAUACACAUAUAUCCAGCAGCUGAAUAGCUGGAAAAUGACAAGAUAUGCCCUAGAGAUGCAAACUCUGAAAAGAUUGCUUGUUUUCCUCUGUAUUGCCAGCCAAGUCUGUUCUACAAAUUGUGUGUGGUGGAGAUCACACUAUUUCAAAAUAUCAAAUUGCUAAUUAAAGUAACUACUCAAGGAAACUUUCCAGUAGAACAAUAUAUGCAGUGGGAUAAUAGUAGUCACUAUUUCUUUAAUGAGUUUCUUUCCUAACCAGAAUUUCUUGCAAUACAUUCAGUGCAGCCAUUCAGUUAGAUUAUUAUGAAUCACAUGUGUAUUAUUUCUGAUUUGGUAUUAACAUAAAAAAUUCUGAUGAACCAUAGUAUUACAAAAAGAGGUUUAGUGUAUAGAAUGGCAAUAUCAUUCCUGCAGAUAAAAGCCUGGAAAUGAAGGUCCUUAUACAGCAAUACAAUUUAAUGUUUUAGUUUCUGGGCUUAAUUUGCAAAGGUGCUGUGAAAUUAUAGGUCCAACCAAAGCCAAGAAGAGCAGAGUGUUUCUGGAUGGACAGAUACGUUGAUCUGCAGCAUGAGUAUUGCUCUGUGGUACAGUAUUGCAUUCUGCAGGAUCUGAAUCAGCAAAAGGUAAUGGGAGGGGAGAAGUCUUUCUUAGUGUGUGUUGUCAUAAUAUGGUUGGUUGAGUUGGAGAUUUUCUUAAAAUGCAGAUAUUUUGCUAGAGCAAAGUAAUUUAGCAAUGCUGUCCAAGGGACAGUGUGUAGAAGCCCUUGUGAAAUUAUAUAGGUAGAUCAAGUCAAGAAAAAAAGUAGUUUAGUUGUGUAGCAGAGUGAAGAACAGAGAACCCAAGAAAUCUCAAUUAUCAUCUUCCCAGUUCUGGGAGAAGAUGGUGGCAAAAAUAUUCCCUUUAGGGUCUGAAUAGAAGUUGACAUAAUGAGAUGGAUUUCCAAAAAUAUUCUGAAAAGCCAGACAGCCUUUUUCAACAGCUUGUUGAAGGUAACUAGAUGCUUCGUUUGGUAUUCUUGAAAAUCCUUCACUCCUGCUCAAGAGAUACUAGAGAAUCUCUUUUAUUUUCUCUGGUGAACAAGAACAAUUUCUUGACGUUAGGUUUUGUAUUCCCAAAUAGCCAUUCUUAUUCCCCUCAAGUACAGAACACAAACAACCAUCUAAAGUAAAGAAUGCAAGAGCUUCCUAAUCAUAAAUCUCCCUUCACUCCAGUGCCAGCUCCCUCAUUCUCAUCCAGUAAAUGUUUUGUCUGUGCUGUAAAAACCUGCGGUCCUGUGGAAAUGCUGCACAUAAAGGGCUUACAACCACACAUGGCUACCCAGCUGGAGAAGGAGAAUGUGGUACUGACAGCGUAUCCUGCUGCAGUCACAGAAAGGUGUUUGACAGAGGUUUGUUAUUCAUUGACCAAAGAACUGAUGUAACAAAUAAUGGGGUGCUGAGAGCUUUAAACAUACAAGUCCCCAGAGUCCUAAAUUAACUGGUUUAUAUAGGAAAGAACUUGUAGAAGAUAGAAUGCUCUAAUAGGCGUAUGGUUACUUUUUCUUCAAUUUUUAAUUUGUUUUAUGACUUGUGUGACU